AUUGAACGCUGGCGGCAUGCCUUACACAUGCAAGUCGAACGGUAACGGGCCUUCGGGUGCCGACGAGUGGCGAACGGGUGAGUAAUACAUCGGAACGUGCCCGCUCGUGGGGGAUAACGAGGCGAAAGCUGUGCUAAUACCGCAUACGAUCUACGGAUGAAAGCCGGGGACCGCAAGGCCUUGCGCGGACGGAGCGGCCGAUGGCAGAUUAGGUAGUUGGUGGGAUAAAAGCUUACCAAGCCGACGAUCUGUAGCUGGUCUGAGAGGAUGAUCAGCCACACUGGGACUGAGACACGGCCCAGACUCCUACGGGAGGCAGCAGUGGGGAAUUUUGGACAAUGGGCGCAAGCCUGAUCCAGCCAUGCCGCGUGCAGGAUGAAGGCCUUCGGGUUGUAAACUGCUUUUGUACGGAACGAAAAGCCUUCUUUUAAUACAGGAGGGUCAUGACGGUACCGUAAGAAUAAGCACCGGCUAACUACGUG
rnacentral:rRNA from 1 species